UUGGAGUAGAAAAACAUUUAUAUAUGAAUUCACACUUGACCCUGGAAUGACUAGGUGAGCCAUUGCUACAUUGCUAAGUGAAGCCAGUUAGAGGACAGGUUGCCUCUGGCCCAGCAGGAGCCUGUGCCCAUCAGCC